GCGAUUGUUUCAGUACUUGAGUCAAUGGAAAUCCAAAGCCAAUGACGGAAUUCAACAAUCACUUCUUAUCGCCAAAUUCCUCUGCUUAUUACAUGUCACAAGCAACUACGUUUUCUCUCCAGUAAUGGUGUACGGUCCGAGCAUGUUGCCGACCCUGAAUCUUACCGGUGAUGUUUUGCUGGUUGAACAUUUGUCGCCGUUGUUCGAUAAGUUGGGACCUGGAGAUGUAAUCCUUGUUCGGUCACCUGAUAACCCUAGGAAGACUGUAACUAAACGAAUUAUUGGCAUGGAGGGUGAUACUGUCACUUUUCUAGCUGACCCUUCAAAAAGUGACCGGUAUAUUAGCUUAAAGGUUCCAAAGGGGCAUGUUUGGAUUCAAGGAGAUAACAUCUAUGCUUCAAAGGAUUCACGACAGCUCGGGCCAAUCCCUUGUGGCCUUAUCUCGGGAAAAGUGUUAUACAGAGUAUGGCCUCCAGAGUGUUUUGGUUCAUUAUGACCACAAAA
rnacentral:misc_RNA from 1 species